rnacentral:rRNA from 1 species
AACGCUAGCUACAGGCUUAACACAUGCAAGUCGAGGGGCAGCAUGAUUGAAGCUGCUUCAAUUGAUGGCGACCGGCGCACGGGUGAGUAACGCGUAUCCAACCUUCCGCUUACUCGGGGAUAGCCUUUCGAAAGAAAGAUUAAUACCCGAUGGUAUCUUAAGCACGCAUGAGAUUAAGAUUAAAGAUUUAUCGGUAAGCGAUGGGGAUGCGUUCCAUUAGGCAGUUGGCGGGGUAACGGCCCACCAAACCUACGAUGGAUAGGGGUUCUGAGAGGAAGGUCCCCCACAUUGGAACUGAGACACGGUCCAAACUCCUACGGGAGGCAGCAGUGAGGAAUAUUGGUCAAUGGGCGAGAGCCUGAACCAGCCAAGUAGCGUGAAGGAUGACGGCCCUACGGGUUGUAAACUUCUUUUGUGCGGGAAUAAAGGAGCCUACGUGUAGGCUUUUGCAUGUACCGUAACGAAUAAGCAUCGGCUAACUCCGUGCCAGCAGCCGCGGUAAUACGGAGGAUGCGAGCGUUAUCCGGAUUUAUUGGGUUUAAAGGGAGCGUAGACGGGUUUUUAAGUCAGCUGUGAAAGUUUGGGGCUCAACCUUAAAAUUGCAGUUGAAACUGGAGACCUUGAGUACGGUUGAGGCAGGCGGAAUUCGUGGUGUAGCGGUGAAAUGCUUAGAUAUCACGAAGAACUCCGAUUG